AUUGAACGCUGGCGGCAUGCCUUACACAUGCAAGUCGAACGGUAACAGGUUAAGCUGACGAGUGGCGAACGGGUGAGUAAUAUAUCGGAACGUGCCCAGUCGUGGGGGAUAACGUAGCGAAAGCUACGCUAAUACCGCAUACGAUCUACGGAUGAAAGCGGGGGAUCGCAAGACCUCGCGCGAUUGGAGCGGCCGAUAUCAGAUUAGGUUGUUGGUGAGGUAAAAGCUCACCAAGCCUGCGAUCUGUAGCUGGUCUGAGAGGACGACCAGCCACACUGGAACUGGGACACGGUCCAGACUCCUACGGGAGGCAGCAGUGGGGAAUUUUGGACAAUGGACGCAAGUCUGAUCCAGCAAUGCCGCGUGCAGGACGAAGGCCUUCGGGUUGUAAACUGCUUUUGUACGGAACGAAACGGUGAGCUCUAAUACAGUUUGCUAAUGACGGUACCGUGAGAAUAAGCACCGGCUAACUACGUGCCAGCAGCCGCCGUAA
rnacentral:rRNA from 1 species